rnacentral:rRNA from 1 species
ACCCAGGCUAAUACCGCAUACGUCCUACGGGAGAAAGGGGGCUCCGGCUCCCGCUAUUGGAUGAGCCUAUGUCGGAUUAGCUAGUUGGUGAGGUAAAGGCUCACCAAGGCAACGAUCCGUAGCUGGUCUGAGAGGAUGAUCAGCCACAUCGGGACUGAGACACGGCCCGAACUCCUACGGGAGGCAGCAGUGGGGAAUAUUGGACAAUGGGCGCAAGCCUGAUCCAGCCAUGCCGCGUAUGUGAAGAAGGCCUUCGGGUUGUAAAGCACUUUCAGCGAGGAAGAACGCCUAGUGGUUAAUACCCAUUAGGAAAGACAUCACUCGCAGAAGAAGCACCGGCUAACUCCGUGCCAGCAGCCGCGGUAAUACGGAGGGUGCGAGCGUUAAUCGGAAUUACUGGGCGUAAAGCGCGCGUAGGUGGCUUGAUAAGCCGGUUGUGAAAGCCCCGGGCUCAACCUGGGAACGGCAUCCGGAACUGUCAAGCUAGAGUGCAGGAGAGGAAGGUAGAAUUCCCGGUGUAGCGGUGAAAUGCGUAGAGAUCGGGAGGAAUACCAGUGGCGAAGGCGGCCUUCUGGACUGACACUGACACUGAGGUGCGAAAGCGUGGGUAGCAAACAGGAUUAGAUACCCUGGUAGUCCACGCCGUAAACGAUGUCGACCAGCCGUUGGGUGCCUAGCGCACUUUGUGGCGAAGUUAACGCGAUAAGUCGACCGCCUGGGGAGUACGGCCGCAAGGUUAAAACUCAAAUGAAUUGACGGGGGCCCGCACAAGCGGUGGAGCAUGUGGUUUAAUUCGAUGCAACGCGAAGAACCUUACCUACUCUUGACAUCCUGCGAACUUGUGAGAGAUCACUUGGUGCCUUCGGGAACGCAGAGACAGGUGCUGCAUGGCUGUCGUCAGCUCGUGUUGUGAAAUGUUGGGUUAAGUCCCGUAACGAGCGCAACCCUUGUCCUUAUUUGCCAGCACGUAAUGGUGGGAACUCUAAGGAGACUGCCGGUGACAAACCGGAGGAAGGUGGGGACGACGUCAAGUCAUCAUGGCCCUUACGAGUAGGGCUACACACGUGCUACAAUGGCCGGUACAAAGGGUUGCCAACUCGCGAGAGUGAGCUAAUCCCGAAAAGCCGGUCUCAGUCCGGAUCGGAGUCUGCAACUCGACUCCGUGAAGUCGGAAUCGCUAGUAAUCGUAGAUCAGAAUGCUACGGUGAAUACGUUCCCGGGCCUUGUACACACCGCCCGUCACACCAUGG